UUUGUUUAACAUGCAAAAAUGGUGUUCAGUCUGAAGGUGAUUCUCUUCCUAUCCUUGCUUCUCUCGCCUGUAUUGAAAAGCUCACUGGUAACUUUGAAUAACAAUGGAUAUGAUGGCAUUGUCAUUGCAAUUAAUCCCAGUGUACCAGAAGAUGAAAAACUCAUUCAAAACAUAAAGGAAAUGGUAACUGAAGCAUCUACUUACCUGUUUCAUGCCACCAAACAAAGAGCUUAUUUCAGGAAUGUAAGCAUUUUAAUUCCAAUGACCUACAAAUCAAAAUCUGAGUACUUAAUCCCAAAACAAGAAUCAUAUGACCAGGCAGAUGUCAUAGUUGCUGAUCUUUACCUGAAAUACGGAGAUGAUCCCUAUACACUUCAAUAUGGACAAUGUGGAGAUAAAGGACAAUAUAUACAUUUUACUCCAAACUUCUUGUUGACUAAUAACUUGGCUACCUAUGGGCCUCGAGGUAGAGUAUUUGUCCAUGAGUGGGCCCAUCUCCGGUGGGGAGUAUUUGAUGAGUAUAAUGUGGACCAGCCAUUCUAUAUUUCCAGAAGAAACACUACUGAAGCAACAAGAUGUUCCACUCGUAUUACUGUUUACAUGGUUUUGAACGAAUGCAAGGGGGCCAGCUGUAUAGCACGACCAUUCAGACGUGACUCAAAGACAGGGCUGUAUGAAGCAAAAUGUACAUUUAUCCCAAAGAGAUCCCAGACUGCCAAGGAAUCCAUUGUGUUUAUGCAAAAUCUUGAUUCUGUGACUGAAUUUUGUACUGAAAAAACACACAAUAAAGAAGCUCCAAACCUAUAGAACAAAAUGUGCAAUCACAGAAGCACAUGGGAUGUAAUCAUGAGCUCUGAAGAUUUUCAGCAUUUAUCUCCCAUGACAGAAAUAAAUUUACCUCGUCCUACAUUUUCAUUGCUCAAGUCCAAACAGCGUGUAGUCUGUUUGGUACUUGAUAAAUCUGGAAGCAUGAAUGCAGAAGACCGUCUCUUUCGAAUGAAUCAAGCAGCAGAAUUGUACUUGAUUCAAAUUAUUGAAAAGGGAUCCUUGGUUGGGUUGGUCACAUUUGACAGUUUUGCUAAAAUCCAAAGUAAGCUCAUAAAAAUAAUUGAUGAUAACACUUACCAAAAGAUCACUGCAAACCUGCCUCAAGAAGCUGAUGGUGGCACUUCAAUUUGCAGGGGACUCAAAGCAGGAUUUCAGGCAAUUCCCCAGAGUAAUCAGAGUACUUUCGGUUCUGAAAUCAUAUUACUAACAGAUGGGGAAGAUUAUCAAAUAAGCUUAUGCUUUGGAGAGGUAAAACAAAGUGGCACAGUCAUCCACACCAUUGCUCUGGGGCCGUCUGCUGACGAAGAACUGGAGACCCUGUCAAAUAUGACAGGAUUACAUAAGGGACACUGAUAUACUGAAAGUUCAUAAAGUGCUGGGAAGUUCAUCUUUUGAGGACAUCGUUUUUAUGCCCAUAAAAACAUAAAUGGCCUUAUUGAUGCUUUCAGCAGAAUUUCAUCUAGAAGUGGCAGCAUCUCUCAGCAGGCUCUUCAGUUGGAAAGUAAAACUUUGAAUAUCCCAGCGAAGAAAUGGAUAAAUGGUACAGUGCCUGUGGAUAGUACAGUUAGAAAUGAUACUUCCUUUGUUGUCACAUGGACGAUACAAAAGCCAGCAAUAAUUCUUCAAGAUCCAAAAGAAAAAAAUAUACUACCUCAGAUUUUCAAGAAGGUGAACUAAAUAUUCGGUCUGCCCGUCUUCGAAUACCAGGUAUUGCAGAGACAGGCACUUGGACUUACAGCGUUCGAAACAAUCAUACCAAAUCUCAAUUGCUAACUGUGACAAUGACCACUCGAGCAAGAAGCCCUACCACACUCCCAGUAAUUGCAACUGCUCACAUGAGUCAAAAUACAGCUCAUUACCCUAGCCCAGUGAUUGUUUAUGCAUGAGUCAGUCAAGGGUUUCUUCCUGUUCUGGGAAUCAAUGUAACAGCCAUUAUAGAAAAUGAAGAGGGACAUCAAGUAACAUUGGAGCUCUGGGACAAUGGCGCAGGUGCUGAUUCUGUCAAGAAUGAUGGCAUCUACUCAAGGUAUUUUACAGAUUACCAUGGAAAUGGUAGAUACAGUUUAAAAGUGCUUACCCAGGCAAGAAAAAACACAGCUAGGCUAAGUCAACAACAGAAUAAAGCUCUGUAUGUACCGCGCUAUGCUGAAAAUGGAAAAAUUAUACUGAACCCAUCCAAACCUGAAGUCACAGAUGAUGUGGAAGGAGCUCAAACAGACGACUUCAGCAGACUCAUCUCUGGAGGGUCGUUUACUGUAUCAGGAGUGCCUCCUAAUGGUAAUCAUUCUCAGGUGUUCUCACCUGGUAAAAUUGUAGACCUCGAGGCUAAGUUUCAAGGAGAUCAUAUUCAACUUUCAUGGACUGCCCCUGGCAAGGUCCUCGAUAAAGGAAGAGCUGAGAGCUACAUUAUAAGAAUAAGUAAACAUUUCCUGGACCUCCAAGAAGAUUUUGAUAAAGCUGCUUUAAUAAAUACUUCUGGUCUGAUACCUAAGGAGCCUGGUUCAGUAGAAAGUUUUGAAUUUAAACCAGAACCUUCUAAAAUAGAGAAUGGUACGACAUUCUAUAUUGCAAUUCAAGCCAUCCAUGAAGCCAAUGUCACCUCAGAGGUUUCAAACAUUGCACAAGCAACUAACUUUAUUCCUCCACAGGAACCCAGCAUUCCUGAUCUGGGUACCAAUAUUUCUGCAAUCAGUUUGGCAAUUUUUGGAUUAGCUGUAAUUUUAUCUAUAUUUUAAACUAGAAAUUAUAUUAGAACUCAAAUUCAAUGUUAUACAUACUUGGUAAACAUUUAUUUAAAAUUUAAUUUACUAUACUUAUUGUCUAUUAUAAAGCUCAUUAUAAUAUAAAAGUGAAGUACAAAAGUUGUAAGUUUCCUAAUUACUUGAUUAAUUAAUACUAUUUGAGUUAUUAAAUGUUAAUCAAAAUGAGUAUAUCAUUUCCUGUCUUUGAAUAAUCCACUCAUUAAUUUUUAAUAUGAAAAGAUAUAUAUUUGUACUUGUAAGCAUUUUAAGAAACAUUUUUAAAGUGUGCUACAAAUUCAUUUGGUGUACUAACAUCAAAAUGUAUCCAAGCCAUUUAAAAAAUAUUUAUAUAUACAUAGUAGCAAAUAGUUUUAUAGAUUUAUUUGUAUCGCAUUUUUUAUUACAAAUGAAUAUUUCAUGUUUAUAUAAGCUGUAAUCAAAAAGGACUAGUAGUAGUAGUAAGGAAGUCAAAUUUGUUUUUUUAUCAUUGAUUAUAAGUGGUAUAUUUGUUUUUUGUCAUUGAUUAAAAGUGAUUUUAGCCCUAGGCCCGAAAUGACUAGCAAAUAUCAUUUUCUGUAUGAAUUGUGGAACAUCACAAUAAAAUUAUUUCUGUGCUGAUGCUA
ensembl:lncRNA CLCA3P chloride channel accessory 3, pseudogene